UGGUGUGAAAGAGCUGGAUGACAUCAGCCAGGAGAUCGCACAGCUGCAGAGAGAGAAAUAUUCACUGGAACAAGACAUCAGAGAAAAGGAAGAGGCAAUCAGACAGAAAGCCAGCGAAGUACAGGAAUUACAAAAUGACCUGGACCGAGAAACUAGUAGUCUGCAGGAACUUGAGGCUCAGAAACAGGAUGCUCAGGACCGCCUGGAUGAGAUGGACCAGCAGAAGGCUAAGCUGCGGGACAUGCUGAGUGACGUGCGGCAGAAAUGCCAGGAUGAGACCCAGACGAUCUCAUCAUUGAAAACCCAGAUCCAGUCUCAGGAGUCAGACUUGAAGUCCCAGGAGGAUGACCUGAACCGGGCCAAGUCAGAGCUGAAUCGGCUGCAGCAGGAGGAGACACAGCUGGAGCAGAGCAUCCAGGCUGGGCGCGCGCAGCUGGAGACCAUCCUCAGGUCCCUGAAGUGCACACAGGAUGACAUCAACCAGGCAAGAAGCAAGCUGUCCCAGCUACAGGAAAGCCACCUAGAAGCUCACCGGAGCCUGGAACAGUACGACCAGGUGCCUGAUGGGGUCUCUGGUACCAGCCUGCCUGACCUGGCCACCUUGAAUGAAGGCAUCUUGCUGGCAGAGAGGGGCGGCUUUGGAGCCAUGGUAAAGGUCGAGUAAGAGUCUCCAGGUCCACGUGGGCUCUGCUGCAGCUGUAGAUCUGCUUACAACAAUAUCUGGCUAUCUGCCUGCGCAGGGCCCAGGGCUGGUGGCCAAGUUCCUCCUGUCAUCUAGAAACUGUGAGGCCCAGGAGUUCCAUCUCCUCAGAAGUGUUUCUUUUGGGCCAAUUGCCCAAAUGUGGAGGGCAAACCUAACCAAAGCUAG
rnacentral:lncRNA from 1 species